UUUAAAAAUGUUGACAAAAAAGAAAAUUAAAGAUCUCCGAGAUGAUGUAGUUGCAUCUAGCUGCUAGUAUUUCCUCUGCAUUAUUUUAUGUGCUCUGAUUGUCAGCCGGAGAGUCAUCAUUUACUUUCUGUUCAGCAGGUCUAGCUGUGGCAUGAAAAGAAAUGAAGACAUGUGGGAGCAGAAAGACGGCAGAGAAAUGAAAGCUGACAGCAGCCUUUUGAGUUGAGAUUGCCGUUAGCAGGGAAUUAAAAGUUCAUCCGAAGUCGAUGGGACUUCAAAAGCCGAUGCGCUUGUCGAGCUUCAAGUCACCUCACAUAUCUACUGCAGCUGAGCAUGGAAAACACUCAGGGAGCUGUUUUCAAGCACAAGUAUUCCCACUUCACACUCAAUUUGAAAAGCACUGGGACAUCUUUCACAAAAAUGUCUGUUUUGUCUGAAAUACAUUUUCCAAAACUUGUAUUUUUUAAACAGAAGAACUAAAACCAAUAAUUUCUAUUAAUUUCUACAUAUGCAGCAGCCUUAGGGUUAAGGCUACGCUAUAAUUUGUCUCCUCCUGCAACUUGGACCUCAGUAACCCUUAUGCUUCUUCUGGAAAUAGUUCAACGUUAUGUUUAUGAAUGAGCUCGGAUGAUUUGUUUCCCUUUUAAUACUGUAGUUCUCAUAUGCAGUGCCAUUUGAAGCCACUGAUGCACAUAUUCACUGAAAGUUUCAUUUAUUUGACUGGAAGUGGCCAUAGAAAGUGGCACACAGUUUGUGUGUGUAAGUCUGUUGAACCUCCUCUCAUUGCAAGGCGUGACCAGAAUGUGUGUCCUCACAGCUGAAGCUCAUUAAGGCCAAUCAAGAGACACACGCCAGAUUUUUUUUGCUCACAUUAGUAGUAAUCAGGCUUCCCUCUUCUCGGUAUAAAUGUUCUUUGAAUUCUGACACUCACCUUUGCUGACUCUCCUCACCUCCAUGCUCACUCACCUGCCAGUGUUCAGCACUCCAUUACUCCAACCAAUAAAUCCAUUCACCAGUCCCCUGCCAACCUCAGUUGCUAUGGUUAUACUUACCUCCUCCUCAGCAGUAUAAACCAUUUUAAGACAACUGCAACAUAAAUCUGAAACAUCUCCUCUUUGUGCUGUCCUGGAUAAAAUACAAAUAAAUACUAAAUACAAGCCACACUUUUUAGAUUUUCCAGUAUGUGUUAGUAUGAAAUCCGAUGAGAUACUCUAAGAUUCUAGACUUUAAUAAAAUAAAUUGUGGUACAGUGUUAACGGUACUUUACCACAAUUUAUGGACCAUGUCUCAAAUGGUUGCCACCAUUCUCUGAGAUUCUGAAAUUCAUUAAGCAAAAAAAAAAAAAAAAAAUACUAACCAAAGAAAAUAUAAGGAAUUGAAUAGUGCUGAAGAGAUUCCCAUCUAACUUUGUCUUAAACAUACCAUUUGACUCAGCUGUGCUAAUGUUGGUAAAGAAUGAGCACCGAAAAACAAAGUCCUCGCCUGUCAACAAAGAUUUCUCUAGAGAGUUUAUGUUAUGAAAUAAAUACUGACACCCACUCUGACAUAUUUGUGCUUCAGGAUACAACAUAAUAGUUUAUUGUCAGCCCAAAAAAUCUAAUUUGUUACAGUGCAGUGGGGGUAAGAAGUAGAGAUAAGUUUAUGAAUUUGGUGUGCAGUUUAAGCUUGAACCUUCAUGUUUCAUUUCAGAUUAACCACAUAGGGUGACACCCUUAAAGUAAUAUUAUCUUGAACCUCCACCAAUCAGUCUUUUUUUGCCACCAGUGAGAGACUGGAGUUCAGCUGUUUUUUUUUUCUCAUCUGUUUUUACAAAAGCAAUGGGUGAUUUUUUAUUUUUUUAUAUUUUGGAAGAAAUUUCUGGUUAGCACUGCUUGUGUUCUACAUGUUACUACAGUCUCCUGAGUCCUCCAUAUGCUUAAGCUCAAAAUUAGAGUGAGUCUGGCACAAGAGCAUCACUGGGCAUCACCAAAAUAAGACCAUUCAAACAGAGACAGCAUCAUGAUUGAAAAGAGGUUUGGUCACGAUGGAUGAAAUGAGGAGCAGUUCUAAAUGCAGGUUAAUUGUGACCCAAAGUUUUUAGACAUCUGCUAGAACGGUGAAGAAGACCAUGGACAAUUCUUCUUAUUUGAAAUAUUUGGAGGAUUUCUGUGUGUUGGCAAAUAUUGCCAAGUCUAGAUGUUGGAUUCGUAACACUGAAAGCUGAAACUGAAUCAAAAAAUGAUUUAACAGAUAUUAUUUCAUUAGAGGUGUGAACACUUAAGCAGCCAGAUUGUUCCAGCUUUUAAGUUUUUAUGAAAUAUAUUUUUCCCUCUAAGAGAUGUCUUUUCUUUCAUUGCUUAAUUGUACGGGAUAUGUGAUAAAAAAAAAGACAGAGAAAGUUUUUAAAGACUGUAUGUUUUUCCCAUCACAAAACUCUGGGAUGUGAACAGAGGUGUGUAGAAUUUUUACAUCCACUGUACAAAAAGGAGCACUCAAAAAAUCCACUUCUUGAAGAAAAGCGACUCUCGAUUUGUUUUGGGAAACAUGCUUUGUCACUAAAACUGUCUUUGUGACGGAUAUAUUCAAUUGCAUUUACUUUGAAGGCAAUUUCCUCGUGUCUUGAUUUAAUCAGGAGAUAGAUGUCCCCAGGACUUAGACAUGCGUGCAACGUGUUGGGCUGAUAGGACCUGUGUCUCCUCUUUGUUUGCUCUGAGCUUCUCUUUAGCGUAUGCGGUCUGAGAGAGGAAUGCUGCUACCGCUCCAGACUGAAGGGAGCACGCUUAGUGGAUGAAAUAUGGAUCCAAACACUCACUGGAAACUCGUAGAUACUCUGGCACCAGUCCAAAGACUCGUCAGUGUUGACAAAUAGGCUGUCAGACAGCCACGAGUCCACACAAAUUUCACCUGUUGUCUACGUCUGCACACCACAAAUCUAAAGCACCAGGGAGGUUCAGCAGAGAAAUGACUCCUGCUCUCAGAUGAGUUGGACAGAUGAGAAAACUCAGAGUUUCAUCAAUUUUUUUCCCACACAGAGCCCAAGUUAUUUGAAAUGCAUACUAUGGGGCCGCGGUAUACCCAUGUGCAAUCAGUACCAUUUCACUGAGUCAAUGUGAUGUUUCUGACGUUAAAUGAUCAGCUUUAUGCACACAUGCAUGGUGGGACUUCAUGAAACAUUCAUUAGUGCUCGUUACAUUGUUUACUCUCUGGACUUGAGAGGUUGUUGAAUAAAAAGAGGUUUAUUGAAAGGUUA